rnacentral:lncRNA from 1 species
AGGAAGUAAAGGGGCUACAAGGGAUCCAUGGAAAGAGCAUUCCCAGAAGCGGGGCCAGGGCAGUGCGCACAGUGAGGAGAGCAGGUGUGUGUGAGGUUGAAACAAAACGUUCAAAGCCCCCUCGGAAGCCCAUCCACAGGUGUGUGACUGUGAACCGCAUCGUAAUCUCCUAGAAAGCAAGAACAUCAGGCUUACAUUUUCCACUUGCCUCUCACGGCUCAGAGCUCUGCAGUAUAUACACAAUGUCAGUGAAGAUGGAAAACAGAACGUGGAGAGAGAUGUAGCUUACUAGAGCCCUGUGGCUUCAAUCCCCACCAGGAAUGUCGUUUAAGAGGAAGGUGAUCUAGCACAAAUUCACAUUUGCUUGAGGAAGAAUACAAAUAGAAGCAGCCUCGGGGAGCGGGCGGGGCUGGGGAAUCCCUGGCCUCCCUCCUUUCCUUCUGGCUGAUCUUCUGCAGAAGACCUCACAAAAGGGAGCUGAGGGGCCAGGAAGCCUGUGGAUGCCCUGAAGAAGAAUGAGUAGAUCUGAAAGGGCAGUAGAACAGAACCAGAAUCCAGUGCAAAGGCCCUGGGGCAGGAGUUCGCAGGAGAAGCGGGGAGAAGGAACCAGCCUAUGAUCCAGGAAUGCAGUGAACAAGAUUUGGGAAGUUGACAGAGAAUAUGAGGCCUCCUCUCCAAACAGAAACUCCAGGACGCUUGGUUGAGUCACUGACACAUGCACAGUGCUGAGCAUAGUACCAGACACCAGAGUCUGUGUUCCAGAAAUGGAAGAAUAGGACAUAUCACACACCAACCGUGUGCAAAGCACUCUACCUAAAGAUCAGCGCUAACAGAGGAAUAAGCAGAGGCCUCCAGGAGCAAAGAGUGAAAAGUCUCCCAAGGAUUCAAGUACGGGGGAAGUGGGUGGAGCUUUCACCGUAGAAUCUUUCCUGGAGAAAAAGCAAAGAGUGGGACAACAAUGAAGGCAUUAAAAAUAACUGUCAAGUUGAAGAAAAAAUCUGAAGUUUAUCAAUACAUGAUCUCCUCAAAAACGAAAGGAAUAAAACAAGUAUCUGCAAUUUGCUGAGAACUUAAUAUGUGUCAGUUGCCUGCAAAACUCAUCAUUCUUUAGACUUUCAAAUACAUCUGUGAGGACGGUAUUGUUGUUUCCACUUACACAUGAGAAGGCAAGAGACAAGCCCACGGUCACCCAGCUGGUAUUUUGCCAAAGACUAAGGAUUCGGAGAUGACUACGGAAAGGAAAACUAAGCUCCAUGAGAAGAGGGGACUUGCCCAUGUGGCUCAGGGCUCUAUGCCCAGUGCCCUAGACAGUGCCUGACUGUGUGUGCGGAAUGAAUGAAUAACCUUGGUGAUCCACCCAAUGGCACUGGCGCUCAGUGACCUCAUCUGAAAUGGAAUAAGGAUUUUAUGAAAAUGCAUGUUUGUUGAAUAACACAAAGGAGAAUAUUAUCUAAUGUGGCUUGGGGUCAAUAUCAAGCAGUAAUAUUGUUUUAGUAUUAAUUAGAGCCGUGUCA